GCCAACAGAACAUUUAUAGGGCCACGUAACAACGCGAGCGACCCGACAUGAAGCCAAAGGAGGACAAUGGGUGGCGCUGAGUGACACCAAUGGCUCCCAAUGUCCCCAAGUAGUUCCCAGGGCCACCAGGAGGGACAAUGGACCCCAUUGAGGGACACCCAACGCCGAAGGUCACCCAAUGGGCCCCAAUACCACCUAUAGGGCCACGUAUCAACAUGAGCAUCCCAACAUGAAGCCAAAGGGGGACAAUGGAUGGCGUUGAGUGACGCCAAUGGCUCCCAAUGUCCCCACAGAGCUCUGAGUGCCAUCAGGAGGGACAACGGACCCCAUUGAGGGACACCCCACACCAAAGGUCACCCAAUGGGCCAACAGAACAUUUAUAGGGCCACGUAACAACGCGAGCGACCCGACAUGAAGCCAAAGGAGGACAAUGGGUGGCGCUGAGUGACACCAAUGGCUCCCAAUGUCCCCAGGAGGGACAAUGGACCCCAUUGAGGGACACCCAAUGCCAAAGGCCACCCAAUGGGCCCCAAUACCACCUAUAGGGCCACAUAUCAACACGAGCAUCCCAACAUGAAGACAACGGAGGGCAAUGGGUGGCGCUGAGUGACACCAAUGGGUCCCAAUGUCCCCAAGUAGUUCCCAAGGCCACCAGGAGGGACAAUGGACCCCAUUGAGGGACACCCCACACCAAAGGUCACCCAAUGGGCCAACAGAACAUUUAUAGGGCCACAUAUCAACAUGAGCGUCCCGACAUGAAGCCAAAGGAGGACAACUGGUUGCGUUGAGUGACACCAAUGGCUCCCAAUGUCCCCAGGAGGGACAAUGGACCCCAUUGAGGGACACCCAACGUUGAAGGUCACCCAAUGGGCCCCAAUACCACCUAUAGGGCCACAUAUCAACACGAGCAUCCCAACAUGAAGACAACGGAGGGCAAUGGGUGGCGCUGAGUGACACCAAUGGCUCCCAAUGUCCCCACAGAGCUCUGAGUGCCAUCAGGAGGGACAACGGACCCCAUUGAGUGACACCCAACGCCAAAGGCCACCCAAUGGGCCAAGAAAACAUUUAUAGGGCCACGUAACAACGCGAGCGACCCGACAUGAAGCCAAAGGGGGACAAUGGGUGGCACUGAGUGACACCAAUGGCUCCCAAUGUCCCCAGGAGGGACAAUGGACCCCAUUAAGGGACACCCAACGUUGUU
rnacentral:lncRNA from 7 species